UGGGGAAUAUUGCACAAUGGAGGGAACUCUGAUGCAGCGACGCCGCGUGAACGAAGAAGGCUUUCGAGUCGUAAAGUUCUUUUAUAUGGGAAGAUAAUGACGGUACCAUAAGAAAAAGCCCCGGCUAACUACGUGCCAGCAGCCGCGGUAAUACGUAGGGGGCUAGCGUUGUCCGGAAUCACUGGGCGUAAAGGGUUCGCAGGCGGAAAUGCAAGUCAGGUGUAAAAGGCAGUAGCUUAACUACUGUAAGCAUUUGAAACUGCAUAUCUUGAUAAGAGUAGAGGUAAGUGGAAUUUUUAGUGUAGCGGUGAAAUGCGUAGAUAUUAAAAAGAAUACCGGUGGCGAAAGCGACUUACUGGGCUCAUUCUGACGCUGAGGAACGAAAGCGUGGGUAGCAAACAGG
rnacentral:rRNA from 1 species